GAGAUCUGCCUUCCUCUUUUGCUUUCUGUUUUCUUUCAUUCAUUCACUCAUUUAUUCAUUCGUCAGAUUGCCACUCAGUGCCUUGUUAAUCCGUGUUAGGCAUCAUAAUAGGCACUGGGGAUAAAAUGUUUUAAAAGUUAAGGUCCAUGCUAUUCAGAAGCUCACAAGCCAGCGAAGGUGGCAGAAAAGUAGAGAGACAAGUGAGAUCCAGCGUGCCUGGCUUGUGGGAUCAUAGUUGCCUGACUGGGGAUCAAACCCAUGGUCCCUGCAGUGGAAGCCCAGAACCCUAACCAUUGGACCACCAGUGUCGAAUUUUGGGAAGCAGCUGCACAGUUAGGACUCUACUGAGCAGCCCCUCUUGCUGUCAGGGUGGGACCAUAUGACUAGUUCUUAUCAAAAAACUGAAACCAAAAAUGACGUGGAUACUCCGAGCCAAGGGUCUGUUCCUGAGGUAUAAUGAAGAAAACACGUCAGAAGGAAGAGUACAAAGGAAUGAACCACUACCUUUUACAGAAGCACACUUUCUGCCCUUGAAUUACAGGUCUCUUCUCCAGGCCUCCCCUGGCCUCGCAUAGCAUGCUGUUAGAUUCAUUAAACCAGCAGUUCUCAACCAUGUUCAUUACUUCAGUGACCACCCACCCGCAUCUCAUCUGCAACCAUAAACAAGCCUCAAAAAA